rnacentral:ncRNA from 2 species
AUUUUAUAUUUAAAUAUAGGUGCUAAUUUAUGGAUUAGUGAAAAGGGAAGUAGGUGAAAGUCCUACACGGUCCCGCCGCUGUAACAGAGGAGUUUAACUAUAUUACCACGGAGUUUACCGGAAGGGUAGUUUAAAUUAUGAUACUGAAGUCAGAAGACCUGCCUAUAUUUUGUUACACUU